AUCAUCUGAGAAGGUCAAUGUAGAAAUACCUGAAGAUAGACUUCUGGAACAAGUGAUGGCAAUGAAGGUAAACUUCACCAUCCUUUUCACAUUUAUUCCUCCAAAAUCUAUUGAUUCUUAGUCUUUAAAUACAUAUACAACUUGAAUCUUGGUGUGUUUGCUGUUUGACAGGUGGAAGAGGUGAAAAAACUAUGCAAGUCUUGUGGCAUGGACUUUUAGGAUCCAAAAUGGAUCUCAUUUUGCAGCUUCGCACAGAAAUAAAGAACCACAAAGUUGUUUACUGCUGAAAACAUCCAAUGUGCUAAAGAAGGGAAGCUCACAGUAAGCCUUCCAUGGUCAAUAAAGGCAAAGGAAACUCCUGAUAUAAAUGGGCAUCCAUUAAGAGGAUCGUCGGAGCAUUAUGUGCUCUAUGAUAAAUUGCAUGAGGGAAAUACAAAGGAUGACAAAGAUGUACUAAGGAAGAUUGAGCUUGUUUCCGAACUUGCUGGCCGUGUAUCAACAGUCAAGUGGUUGUAAUUUUUUCUCACAAAUGGAAAAAAAACAACUAUUUCUUAAACAUGAAUAAGCCAAGUACCCAGAUUUUAUUGAUCAGAAACAUAAUCCAUCACAGAAACUCCCAUCAUAAACACGGCAAGAAUGGAUCCGAUUAAGAAGUCUGGACGUUGAGCUUGUUACAUUGAACAAACAUGCACAAGCAGUCAUUGGUACUUCUAAUGAGAACAACAAGUUGGCAAAUGUAGCAGAAGUUAACGUGUGGACACCAGUGUGAGGCUCUCAGUCAAAUAGCAAACCUCAGGCCUUGCAGAGAUUCGUGGCCACAGAAGGGACAUCUCCUUCAAGAACAAAUGGUACGAUAGAAGGUUUGUUAUUUGCUGGGAUUUUAUUUAUAUUCAUUUUCUUUUUUUUUCUUUGGUCAUUUUCAGAUCAACUAUGUCUUGGAUGUGAGUAAACCAGCCAAUGAGCUGAUAAUUAAGGAGGGAUCAGUUUGCCUUACCCCAGACAAUUUGUUGUCUCUUAGUCUGCAAAGGAACAUAGACUCGUUUGUUUUCAUCUGUGUUGAUUCACACAAAACUCUACAUGUUUGAACAGAUUCUAUGACCGUUUCACUUCUGUUUUGUGACACUUCUGAGUACGUUAACCUAUAAGUUAUGCAAAAGAGUAUAAGUUAUGUGAAAAGCUAUCUUGAUUUCGGGAUAAAUAAUUGUAAUUGUAAUAAUAACAAUACACUUAAAAUUUAAUAACAAUGGAUUAGUUUCGUCAUGUCAGUGUUUUAGAAGAAAAGUUUCCCUCACGCCCCACAGGUAACUUUUACAUUAGGCCUAGCGUUAGCUAACGUUUCAGAUGCAAUGUCAAUUAAACGUGAAUCGAAAGGGAACCAACUGAUUUUCACAGUACUUAAACUAAACUUACCUCUGAGUUUCUGUGCUUCGUCUUCAGUGACAUGUAUUCCAGCUUCUUUUAGUUUUUCAAGAAGAUCCUCCGUUGACAACGUGGUGCACAAUCUUCUCUUCUUGCUACAAUCCCAUUGGACGACACAAAUUUAAAGAAUGCCUGCUGCAAAUAUGCGUUCUUGAACUUUGAUGCCAAGCUAAAGUACACCAUAUAAGGUUAAAUAAACGUCAAAUAAUUUUGUCUAUAUUGUGCUUUUGCUAAGAAAAAUUACGUUUUCUCUUACUCUAAAUUACAGCUCUUAUACAAGUAAAAAAAAAAAUACAGGCUUACACUAAUACAUGUUAAAAAGUUAUUAUUUUGAUGCGCUGUACAAUCCAUAAAAUAUAAUGUGCUUUGCUGCAGCCUGGAAUUGAACUACUGGUUUUGUCUGGUCAGAGGAGAACUGGCCCUCCAACUGAGCCUGGUUUCUCCCCAGGUUUUUUCUCCAUUCCGUCACCGAUGGAGUUUUGGUUCCUUGCCGCUGUCGCCUCUGGCUUGCUUAGUUGGGGUCACUUCAUCUACAGUGAUAUCGUUCACUUGAUUGGAAAUAAAUGCAAAGACACUAUAUAACCGAACAGAAAUGACAUCACUGAAUUCAAUGAUGAACUGCCUUUAACUAUCAUUUUGGAUUAUUGACACUGUUUUCCUA